GAUGAACGCUGGCGGCGGGCCUAAUACAUGCAAGUCGAACGAACAGACGAGAAGCUUUCUCCUUUGGGGUUGGCGGCGGGCGGGGGGGUAAGAAGUGGAUAACAUACUUCUUUUACUGGGGGAAAAUCGGGGGAAAGGUUCGACUAAAACGUAAUAGAUCGAACGGGAUGAGUCAGGGGUGAUAGGCGGUUUUGCGGUCACAUAUAGCGGGAUCGGUGCCGCAUUAGCUGGUGGGUAAGGUAACGGCACACCAAGGCAACGAUGCGUAGCGGAGCUGAGAGGAUGAUCAGCCACACUGGAACUGAGACACGGUCCAGACUCCUACGGGAGGCAGCAGUGGGGAAUCUUGCGCAAUGGGCGCAAGCCUGAUCCAGCCAUACCGCGUGGGUGAUGAAGGCCUUCGGGUUGUAAAGCCCUGUUGUUGGGAAAGAACAGCAGCAUGUUAAUACCCCCCUGUUCUGACGGUACCCAAUGAAUAAGCACCGGCUAACUUCGUG
rnacentral:rRNA from 1 species